AGAGUUUGAUCCUGGCUCAGGAUGAACGCUGGCGGCGUGCUUAACACAUGCAAGUCGAGCGGAGCACAUCAUUGGAAUCCUUCGGGAGGAAGAGGAUGUGGCUUAGCGGCGGACGGGUGAGUAACGCGUGGACAACCUGCCCUAUGCAGGGGGAUAACAUCCGGAAACGGGUGCUAAUACCGCAUAAGCGCACAGUACCGCAUGGUACGGUGUGAAAAGCUGAGGCGGCAUAGGAUGGGUCCGCGUUGGAUUAGGCAGUUGGCGGGGUAACGGCCCACCAAACCGACGAUCCAUAGCCGGCCUGAGAGGGUGGACGGCCACAUUGGGACUGAGACACGGCCCAGACUCCUACGGGAGGCAGCAGUGGGGAAUAUUGCACAAUGGGGGGAACCCUGAUGCAGCGACGCCGCGUGAGUGAGGAAGUACUUCGGUAUGUAAAGCCCUAUCAGCAGGGAAGAAAAUGACGGUACCUGACUAAGAAGCCCCGGCUAACUACGUG
rnacentral:rRNA from 1 species